CCAGACUCCUACGGGAGGCAGCAGUGGGGAAUAUUGCACAAUGGGGGAAACCCUGAUGCAGCGACGCCGCGUGAGUGAAGAAGUAUCUCGGUACGUAAAGCUCUAUCAGCAGGGAAGAAAAUGACGGUACCUGACUAAGAAGCCCCGGCUAACUACGUGCCAGCAGCCGCGGUAAUACGUAGGGGGCAAGCGUUAUCCGGAUUUACUGGGUGUAAAGGGAGCGCAGGCGGCCUGCCAAGUCUGGUGUGAAAACCCGGGGCCCAACCCCGGGCCUGCAUUGGAAACUGGCGGGCUGGAGUGUCGGAGGGGCAGGCGGAAUUCCUAGUGUAGCGGUGAAAUGCGUAGAUAUUAGGAGGAACACCGGUGGCGAAGGCGGCCUGCUGGACGAUGACUGACGCUGAGGCUCGAAAGCGUGGGGAGCAAACAGGAUUAGAUACCCCAGUAGU
rnacentral:rRNA from 1 species